GAGUUUGAUCCUGGCUCAGAACGAACGCUGGCGGCAGGCCUAAUACAUGCAAGUCGAGCGCGCCCUUCGGGGUGAGCGGCGGACGGGUGAGUAACGCGUGGGAAUAUGCCCUUCUCUAAGGAAUAGCCUCUGGAAACGGAGAGUAAUACCUUAUACGCCCUUUGGGGGAAAGAUUUAUCGGAGAAGGAUUAGCCCGCGUUAGAUUAGGUAGUUGGUGGGGUAAUGGCCUACCAAGCCUACGAUCUAUAGCUGGUUUGAGAGGAUGAUCAGCCACACUGGGACUGAGACACGGCCCAGACUCCUACGGGAGGCAGCAGUAGGGAAUCUUAGACAAUGGGGGCAACCCUGAUCUAGCCAUGCCGCGUGUGUGAUGAAGGCCCUAGGGUCGUAAAGCACUUUCGCCAGAGAUGAUAAUGACAGUAUCUGGUAAAGAAACCCCGGCUAACUCCGUGCCAGCAGCCGCGGUAAUACGGAGGGGGUUAGCGUUGUUCGGAAUUACUGGGCGUAAAGCGCGCGUAGGCGGUUUGUUAAGUCAGCUGUGAAAGCCCCGGGCUCAACCUGGGAACUGCAGUUGAUACUGGCCGACUAGAGUACGAGAGAGGGAGGUAGAAUUCCAUGUGUAGCGGUGAAAUGCGUAGAUAUAUGGAGGAAUACCAGUGGCGAAGGCGGCCUCCUGGCUCGAUACUGACGCUGAAGUGCGAAAGCGUGGGGAUCAAACAGGAUUAGAUACCCUGGUAGUCCACGCCGUAAACGAUGACAACUAGCUGUGGGGAGACUAUGUCUUUCAGUGGCGCAGCUAACGCUUUAAGUUGUCCGCCUGGGGAGUACGGCCGCAAGGCUAAAACUCAAAUGAAUUGACGGGGACCCGCACAAGCGGUGGAGCAUGUGGUUUAAUUCGAUGCAACGCGAAAAACCUUACCUACUCUUGACAUACUUGGAGGCUCUUGUAAUGAGAGUGUGCCUUUUGGAACCAAGAUACAGGUGCUGCAUGGCUGUCGUCAGCUCGUGUCGUGAGAUGUUCCGUUAAGUCGGAUAACGAGCGCAACCCUUACCCUUAUUUGCCAGCGAUUCGGUCGGGAACUAUAAGGGGACUGCCGGUGAUAAACCGGAGGAAGGUGAGGACGACGUCAAGUCAUCAUGGCCCUUACGAGUAGGGCUACACACGUGCUACAAUGGGAGAUACAGACGGACGCUAAGCCGCGAGGUGGUGCUAAUCCUAAAAAGUCUUUCGUAGUCCGGAUUGGAGUCUGCAACUCGACUCCAUGAAGUCGGAGUCGCUAGUAAUCGCGGAUCAGCAUGCCGCGGUGAAUACGUUCUCGGGUCUUGUACACACCGCCCGUCACACCAUGGAAGUGGAUUGCACCAGAAGUAGAUAGUCUAACCUUAGGGAGGGCGUUUACCACGGUGUGCUUCAUGACUGGGGUGAAGUCGUAACAAGGUAACC
rnacentral:rRNA from 1 species